GGACUACUGGGGUUUCUAAUCCUGUUUGCUCCCCACGCUUUCGCGCUUAAGCGUCAGUUACGGGCCAAAAGGCCGCCUUCGCAACCGGUAUUCCUCUCGAGAUCUACGCAUUUUACCGCUACUCCGAGAAUUCUACCUUUCUCUCCCGUACUCUAGCUUGCUAGUUUCAACUGCAUUUACUCAGUUAAGCCGAGCUCUUUAACAACUGACUUAGCAAGCCGCCGACACGCUCUUUACGCCCAGUCAUUCCGAAUAACGCUUGCACCCUUCGUAUUACCGCGGCUGCUGGCAC
rnacentral:rRNA from 1 species